rnacentral:rRNA from 1 species
CGGGUGAGUAACACGUAGGUAACCUGCCCAUGUGCCCGGGAUAACUUCUGGAAACGGAUGCUAAAACCGGAUAGGUAGCAGACAAGCAUUUGACUGCUAUUAAAGUGGCUAAGGCCAUGAACAUGGAUGGACCUGCGGUGCAUUAGCUAGUUGGUGAGGUAACGGCCCACCAAGGCGACGAUUGGUAGCCGGACUGAGAGGUUGAACGGCCACAUUGGGACUGAGACACGGCCCAAACUCCUACGGGAGGCAGCAUG